GCCUUUUGAUGACAUUCCUGCCCAGAUACCAUCCCAUACUUACAGAAUUACAUCUCCCUGGGAGUUAUUAAUAUAUUCAAGAUGAGGGUCCCCAUCAGAGAUAUGAGCUGAAGAAAGGACAGACACUCUAACCUGGUGCCCC